UGGGGAAUAUUGCACAAUGGGCGCAAGCCUGAUGCAGCGACGCCGCGUGAGGGAUGGAGGCCUUCGGGUUGUAAACCUCUUUCGUCAGGGAACAAGGCACUGUCUUUUUGGUGGUGUUGAGGGUACCUGGAUAAGAAGCGCCGGCUAACUACGUGCCAGCAGCCGCGGUAAUACGUAGGGCGCAAGCGUUGUCCGGAAUUAUUGGGCGUAAAGAGCUCGUAGGCGGCUGGUCGCGUCUGUCGUGAAAACUUCCGGCUCAACCGGGGGCUUGCGGUGGGUACGGGCCGGCUAGAGUGCGGUAGGGGUAACUGGAACUCCUGGUGUAGCGGUGGAAUGCGCAGAUAUCAGGAAGAACACCGAUGGCGAAGGCAGGUUACUGGGCCGUUACUGACGCUGAGGAGCGAAAGCGUGGGGAGCGAACAGGAUUAGAUACCCUGGUAGUCCACGCCGUAAACGUUGGGCACUAGGUGUGAGGCUCCUUUCCGGGGGUUUUGCGCCGUAGCUAACGCAUUAAGUGCCCCGCCUGGGGAGUACGGCCGCAAGGCUA
rnacentral:rRNA from 1 species